rnacentral:pre_miRNA from 1 species
AAUGGGAUAGCUGAGCCAAAUGGUGGUUUCAUUCCAAAUUUUAUAAGGAAUCUCCAUAUUUCUUCCCAAAUUGGUUUCACCAAUUUGCAGUCCCACUAGUGAU